CUUUUUGGAUAUAAUAUAUGUUACAGUGAUUUUAGGAUGAGCGUUUUGCUUUCAUUUUCAGGGACACUAGGCAAACCUUUGGACUACAUUUUGCCUGACAGUGGAGUCUUCUUGUUGAGGCCUUCACACAGUUCUUGGAAGAAUUCUUCUGUAAGUCAGGCAGGCUCCCAAAGUCGAAGAUUUCCAUUCCAGUCGCUUGUGGUGCAAAAGCAAUUGCUUUUAGAAGCUAGUGAUAUGCAUGUUCUCCUUGCUGCACAGCGAAAGCUUCCACACCUUGUAUCAAAUGUAUUUCAAUAAUCAAUGUGCCCGGGGUCGCGGCAGUGCCAGUGAUGCGUGUAGCUAAUCAGUCAUUAGUCUUUAGUCAUUAGUCUUUCACUGGUUUUGUGCUGAACCAGAAAGUAGAUAUUUUUAAAUCACAUUUGAUAUUUGUUAUGAUGUAGGCAGCAUUCUUUUGGGGCCAGAUGAUCCUUUGGUGCUUAGUGAAUAUAGAGACUUCCAAGUCAAGAAGUUUGGGGUUUGAGUCAAACUCAAACCUUAAAUUUUGUCUAUCAGAAAAGAUAAAUGAAUGUGUGAGGUUUACUUUUGUUAAUCUCAUUGACUUUUGCUUAUUGUUUCUGUCCAUUCAAGGAACGAAUGAAAAAAUAAAGCGAAUGCAUAGGAACAGGAAGUAGGAUGGGAGUUGCCAGGAGUUCGCAGGGAGUGAGGAGAUAGGUCAGAGGGUGUGACCUUGCAGUUAUGCAGGUUGAGUAAGUUCUAGAGACCUAACGUACAGCAUAACAACUGUAGUUGAUCACACUGUUUUGUAUACUUGAAAGUUUCUAUGAAGAUAGAUCUUAAGUAUUCUCAUUACACACAGACAAAUUCGUAACUAUGUGAGAUGAUGGAUAUUUAAUUAGUUGAUGGUUUUAUGGUAUAUGCAUGUAUAUAAAAUAUAUAUAUAUAUAUCAAAGCAUCACACUGUUCAUUUUAAGUAUAAAAUGGACACUUUAUCAAUUAUAACUAAAUGAAGCUGAAAAACACAACAUUUAUCAUUUUAAAAAGUACAGAAAAGAAAAAUGAAAAACUGUCUUCCAAAAAAAAUUGCUUCUGAAUUUAACUGCUGUUACACGUGGAUGGUGUAGACGGCUUCCCUGUGAGUUUUUCAAAUGCCUGGAUUAUAAUCUGUCACUCGGACAGUCCGUCCCAACCUGUGCACUGUUGCCUUCGUCUUUCUUGCAGAGCUUUCAGACUUUAUUCUAUUUGUGCCUCAUCGUGCCCUUGGUAUGUAGGCACAGCAAAUAUUUUUAUCUUUUAUAGAUAAGGAGAGGGAGCUUUACAGACAUUUAAGCCUGUGUCUUCUGUUUCUUGUUUAUGCUAGAUUCAGACUUUCUUAAGGGCGGAAGAAUUUCUGGCCUGUUCUCUGUCCAUCUAGCACCUAGUUUAGUGCACGACCCAGGAGAGCUCAUCUGGCUCAUGGAUUGAAGUGCAUUGAUCUCAGUAACUGUAGUUGCUGUCCAACAAAUGUGCCUCAUUAAAGCACUGGGAAUGUAGCUCCAACCUGAAGGAAAGGGAGUUGCUUUUGACAUUUUUCUGAGGUGGAGAAGGACAGGAGGGAGAUCGAUCUCCAUCCUAUUAACACAGUGAAUGGGGCUCAUUGUCAUUUCUAGGUGAGUUAGGAUGGUAGACCCUGUCAAGGUGGAUUCAGUAAUUAACUUUGUGUAAAAUCACCUCCUCUUGCCUGAAAGGACAUCUUUUGAACUGAUUGAAUGGAUACCCCUCAGCCAAAAAUGCCUGGGGGACAUUCACGGUCUCUGCAGUCAGUCGCCUGCCUGCUGUCAGAGGCCAUAGCUUGUGUGCUUACCCUUGAGAUACUUCAUUCUCCCUGGCCUUUUUGCUGAGGCUUUCACUUUUGUUACUGUUGUUUUAGUUUUCUAUUUCUAGGAAAUUGUAGUAAAAACAAAUAACCCACUCAAAUUGAGACCAAAAGCCUAAUUGAAGUCAAUGGAUAUGAAAGGAAGAAGCUAGCAUUGUGUUCUCCAUAAGAGGUUGCUGAGAAUACCAAGAAGCAGGGGCACAGCUGUGAUUUUUUUUUUACAAGUUUUACUAAAAAUGGAAAUGUUGAAAAUAUUUCAGCCUCUGUCCUUAGCUCACUGUGGUGUGAAGAGAAGGAAGCACCUGUGUUGUUGCAGAUUGAGAAGGGAGGAGGUGUCUGGGUUCCCUGAUGGCUUCGGUGGCGCUCCUUCCCCUCUGUGUGUGCUGCAGGUCACCCCAAGCUGGGGGCAGGUCGUGGGGAGGAGCCCGGAGUCUGUGGCCAGAGGAGUUGCAACUGUCCUUUUCUUGGUAGGGGGUGCAGACAUGGGAAGGAAGAAAAUUGUCUAAGAGGGAGGCACUCUUACAAAAAUAGUUACUACAUUACAGUUAAGUGCUGAAGUAACUAUCUCCAGGAGGACAAGGCUGGAGGGAAAAGCAAGGCAUUUGGCAUUAGGCAUCCUGGAGCUGAAAUGUCAGCUCUGUUUCUGACCUGAGCAGGCCUCAUUUACCCCAUCUGUAUAAUGGAGAUAAAAAUAUUUUACCUCCAAGUUCAAGUGGAAGAACAUAUGUGAAGUACCUGACAUGUGGUAGGCAGUCAGCAGGCCUAGUUCUUUCUCAUUUUGCUUCUAAGUUUGGGUUUAGAACGGCAGGAAUAAAAACAGACUUUGGGCAGUUUUCCCUAAAUGUCUUCUGAGGAAGAUUUUUCUCAAGAGAGGCACUCAGAAAUGAUUUGUGUGGUUCAGCAGGUUUGCUAACGACUGACGCUGCGUCCCUGUCCACAUCCCACACCACCAAGGUGUUCCAGGUGCCCAAGAGCAGGAGGAACAUGCCGAGAUAUCCACAGCCAGAGACGUACCGUCCACUCACCUGCGUUCCUUAGAUGUAUUUCCGUGUGAAAGGGAUCUGCCUGGCAAUUGCUAAUAUGGCCCUCCCCUGAAGCAGGUUCUCUGGGGUUUCCUUGCUUGCAGGGUGCCUGGUGGCUUCUUGGUGAUUCUCUGGAGGUCCCAAGAGCCUGUGCCUGGGGGCCCAUCACAUGCUCCAGGUGCUGUGCCAGGCCUUGGGAACUUAGGGGUGGUGAGAACUACCCGAUAGCUCACAUGGUUCCAUUUGGAUUAGUGUGAAAUCUAACUUUAGAAGACCAAGUGUAAAGCUGAACAUUUGUGUGUAAAAUAGUGACAUGUAAGUAUAUAACCAACAAAUUCCGUGCUGGAGCACUGGCAGGAGAGAAAGGACUGUGGACGUGUAUUUUGAAAAUAUGGCUACUGUUAUCCCACCAUGAGUGCCCACCCCAUGUUCGCUGUGUCAGUCAGAGAUGCAACCUGUGUGGGGAGUGGCCUGGGGAUUCCUUACGGGCUGAAAUCUAAAAUGUAGAAGCUGUUUUAACUUAAAAUGGGGCAUAUUAGAGCCAUUUAGGUCUGUCUUUCACUUGCGGCAUUUGACAGUUAUCCUGAGAAUGUUUAUGUGGUGUUAUGCUGUCAGAGUUGUUUCCAUUCUGACAGCUGCCAUAACUAGACACGGGGCUCUCAUCCAGAAGGUGGAAACGUGAAGCUCAAAACGGGAGGUGCUGUGGUCCCAUCCCAGGGAUGGGAUGGGAUAACUUCCUAGUUAUCUGGGAAGGUAGAAAUGUCCACACUUCGAUUAGUUCUUAAUAAAAUAGUCCAGUGAACGUUAUUUUCUUAACCAUGGCAAGAUUGAAUAAGCCAAAUAAAACUAUGUAUAGACAUAUAUUUUAUAUAUAUAUAUUACUUAUUUAAAAUGUAUAUAUAAAUUAUAUAUAUGUGUGUAUAUAUAUAUAUAUAUAUUUUUUUUUUUUUGCUUUGAGCCUGAAUUAUAUCUAUUCUGAUACGAGCUACUUAUUUGCAUUUAGGAAUUUUGCCAUUAGAACCCAGAUGACAGGGUUUUGAUAUAUAAUCAUAGAAAGUUGUUACUUAAAAAUAUAACUUUUGGCCGGGCACAGUGACUCAAGCCUGUAAUCCCAGCACUUUGGGAGGCUAAGGCAGUUGGAUCACCUGAGGUCAGGAGUUCAGAACCAGGCUGGCAAACAUGGUGAAACCUCAUCUCUACUAAAAAUACAAAAAUUAGCUAGGCGUGGUGACACAUGCCUGUAAUUCCAGCUACUCGGGAGGCUGAGGCAGGAGAAUCACUUGAACCUGGGAGAAUCACUUGAACUAAGCCAAGACUGUGCCAUUGUACUCCCGCCUGGACAACAAAAGUGAAACUCAGUCUCAAAAAAAAAAUAGUAAUGAUAAAUAAAAUAAAAUUAAAAUUAAAAUGUAACUUUUUGCCCAGGCACAGUGGUUCAUACCUGUAAUCCCAGCACUUUGAGAGGCUGAGGUAGGAGGAUUAUUUGAGCUCAGGAGUUUAGGACCACUCUGGGCAACAUAGGGAAACCUUGUCUUUACAAAAAAUAAAAAAAAUUAGCUGGGCGUGGUGGCGGCAUCUGUGUCUCCAAGCUACUCAGGAGGCUGAGGCAGGAGGAUCGCUUGAGCCCAGGAGAUUGAGGCUGCAGUGAGCCAUGAUUGCACCACUGCAUUCCAGCCUGGGCAGCAGAGCAAGACCUUGUCUUAAAUAAAAAGGUAACUUUUAGUAGACAGAAUCUUUCCUAUGGAAUAACUACAAUGAAAGUGACUCUUAGUGGUUUAAAUAAAACGUUGGGACCAGAUGGUUGGUUAAGUUGUGUGGUUGAACAUUGCUAUGUGGUGUAGGCUCAGAUCUCUGCUCUGCCUCUGCUACCUGCAAACUCUGUGAUUUUCAGCAAGCAUCCUAACUUCUCUGAGCCUUGGUUUAUUCACCUCUAAAAUGUGAUUAACCUCAUGAACAAAUUAAAUGGGAUAAUGUCUAUAAAGUAUUGAGCAGGAGCAUGCCUGGUGAUAAAUAAUACAAUCAUUUUGUUUUUUCCUAUACAUUUGCAAGGUCAUUUACCUGGUAUGCUGUGGAAAAGCUACGUAAACCCCAAGUUUCUGAUUGUGUAACUUAUUAGGAAAUAAGUGGCAUUUCCUCACUGAAACUUUCAACUGAUUUCGGGGAUAGUCUUCCUUUGCACAUCUUUAUGUCCCUGUUAGCUUUGCAUUAUGGGUACCACACGUAGUGGGUGCUUCCUCAUGUACAUAGUGGAUAUUUAUUCAUUUAAUUUUUUAUUCAUUUUUGAACACCUGGCUGGUGCCAAGUGUCCUGGACUCCUAGGUAAGACAUAAUCCCUGCCCCCCUGGUCCCUUGAUCAGCAGGAGAUGCAGGUGUGGGCUGUGACCAUUGGGGGCUUGAAGUGCUGUAUUUGCAGCAUGGAUAAUGGGGUACAGCACAGAGAAGAGUGAAUUCUGCCAGAAGAACCUAGGAAGGCUUUAGGGGCAUUUGAUCUAUCUCCUAGAGAAAGCAUGUAUGGGUAGAGCCACCACACUGGGACCAGCGAGGGAAAGGGGGUAUGUGACAUGAUGGGCCAGAUUGAGAGGACUUUGCUAAGGUUUCUGCUAGUUUAAAGCUCAACAGAGACAGUCGUGCCCCACAUCACCAUGUUUUGCCUAAUGACAGACCACAGAUACCAUGGUGGGCCUGUGAGAUUUUCCGGUGGAGCUGAAAGAUGGAUUCUGCCUAGUAUUUACUAUUCUGUUCUUUUUAAAUCAUUAUUUUAGAGUGUACUACUACUUAUGAAAAAGUAAGUGAGAUGUGAUAGGAGGGAUCCAGAUGAAGGCAUUGUUACUAAUAUCAUAUGAGAUGACAGCUCCGUGGUGUUGCCGCCCCGAAGACCUUCUACUCAGAGAAGAUGUGGAGCUUCCUACCUCCGUUGCUGAUGUUCUUGCCCUGCUUUCUCAAUUUCCUGCAUGGAGCCUCCUAAACUAUCGGACCUUGAUGUUUCCCAGCUCUUCAGGUAUCUGGGGCUUAAACUUAGAAUAGCAUUUCUCAUGCCAUGUUGCGGUUGUGUUCACUGGUCUAUAACUUCCACUAAAGGAGUUUUUUAAGAGAAGGGGUUUUCUUGUGUUCUGCUUUUUCAUAAACACUGACACAUAGUGGCCCUCCAAAAAAAAAAUGUUGAUGUUCAAACAUUAAAUACUCUAGUUCCAAGUGACUUAAGGCAGGCAAGAAUGAGGUGGUUCCAUUUCUAGCUUUAUUUUUACAGUUACAACUGCUGUUGCUCUGGUUUUAUCUCUGUGCUUUCUGUGAGAUGUAUCUAAGAAAUCAUAGGGUGGUCAGAUUAAGAAGAAACUAAAUAUCUUACCAUGUGGUAUUGGCCUGCCUGGGUAAGGCCUCUCUUCUGGGAUGUGGGAGGUUCAGAGAUGCAUGAGUCCAGCCAUCAGAGUUGCUUCUCCUAAGCAGAUGGCCUUCUUUUAGUCUUGGUGUUUCAGAUGGGGAGAAGGCAGACUUGGAGGGUGGGGUGACUUUAGGGUGCAAAGGAUAAGUUCCAGUUCCUUGUUGCAAAGAACUGAAGCUUCUAGCUGCCAAGAUGCCUGCAAAGUAAAGGCCUACCUCUGCAAGUCCGUCCCAUGUUCCCGGAACACAGAACACAGAACGGCUUCCUGACCCCCUUUGUCUUAGCACCAGCGCCCGUACCCCUCAGAUUCCCUGCUCACAACUCACAGGCUACAAGCAGAGUGUUCUUUUUUUGUCCAUAGCUUUUAGAGUCCUUCUCAAACUUUACCUUAUGGCUUCAUCUCACUGCUCGUAAAACUCUGGGAAAUAGGCAGGAUUCUCCAUCUCAUGAAGAGGAUGCUGCAGCUUGGAGACAUGAAGGGACCCACGCUGUAGCGAGGCACUUGUGGAGAGCCUGACUCCAGUGUACCACCUGCUCCUCGCAUUCAAAUCUCACACUUUUUUUUUUAAUUUAGCUUGUGGUAUUGAUGAACUGAAAUGCUAUUAGAGAGUUUCACAUACCCUAAUUUACACACACAUACAAAGUAGUUUUCUUGCUGGCACCGUUCCUGUAAUGAAAAGCAUUUUCUCCUAGUGACACCCCUGAGAUCUUGGCAGCUAUGUUCUGCCUCAGUCUAAAGCCCAGUUCCCAGCGAUCUGUUAGGCAGAAUGUAGCCCAGAACCUCCGUGCAUCAGAACAGCUUGAUGAAUGUCUGCAGUUGUGAGUUCCUGCACAUGAAUCUUGACAGGUGACUUCACUCAGAGCCAGGGUUGCUGUAGCUAUAACUUUUUCUAACUUGGUGUGUAUUUUUCCUAAUCAAGAGAAUGAAAAUCUACAAAUGUGGAGGAUGAGGAGUUCUCUACACAAUUAAUGAGAAAUGACAAUUUGUAACCUGAUGACACAGGAGAAGUGGCAAGCCAGAACAUCGCAGCUCAUGCUGCAAAAUCUCCUGGGAUCUGACAUGCGUGUCACCAGGAUCUGUGUUUUGGGAAGGGACACCCACCUUCUCAAUGUCAGAGGGCAGGAGAGGGUAAGGGCCCUGUGACCCCUGCCUCUGACACCUGCACUGGCCUCAGAGGAGAGUUGUGGCUCUGAUCCCCCAACCCUUGCUGGUCCUUACAGAUGAGUCCUGGUACCCCAAGCCCCAGCCCCUUCACUGCCUCCCUUCCCCACUGGGACCUCUGAGACCAGGCUGGCAGCCACUGUCCUCUCUCAUGGCCACAUUGCCAAAGCCUCUCAUCCUCCCUUCCCUGUCCAUGGCCUGCCAGUACAACAGCAUUCUCUGAAAUCGAUUCUUAGUUGAUUUAAGUGGGUGUCCCUCCCCUCUCUCACCCUCUGACAUUGAGGAGGUGGGUGUCCUUUCCCAAAACACAGGUCCUUGUGACAAACAUGGGCCUACACUAUGAAGUAGGCUGUCUCUCCACUAGAAAUUUGGUGUGUAUUGCAGGUCCUUAAGAAAAUGCCAAUUCCUGAUAUUGCUUUGCUCAGAAACUGAGCCAAGGGCUGAAAGGCAACUCUGGAAGCAUUUGCACACCCUGCCCCAGCGAAGGUCAGUGAGUGCCUUCUCACCCCUCUGCAACCUGCUGUUUCCUUCCUGGAAAGGAUGCUUGGAAUCGACUUUCUCUCCCCAUUUUGUGGAUUUGACUCUCCACCUCCAAACCCUCCUCACGGCUUUCUCCCAGGAGGCAGCGUCCUGGAACCCUGCCCCGAAUGGCAGGACCCCUAUCAGUCUCCCCAGCCCUUUCUCACACAAGGGAUAAAGAGCAAACAAAUACAACUUUUGAUUUCACGAUGGGAUGGAAUGAUCUUCUGUUGUCUGGAAAAUUCAGAUUCUCCCAACAGAGUCUAAAUGAAGAAAAUGUCACACUAUUACGUUACCCUCUGCUGUUACGCGUUCUGAGCAGCUGCAUGCCUGCUCACAUUGUCUCACACUCAGCCUGUCAAGCACCUCCGUGCACGUGUCCCCUACUGUCCAGGACUUCUUAAAAUCUCAAUCCCACAGAUACUCUCAUUCCACCUUCAGUGAGAGUCUGACCCAGGGAUCAUCCUGCCUCAACUCUUAACCCUCCUCAACAUAGCACACUUGCCACGCCAUGGUACCCCUUUCGCCCAAUGUCACAGGCUUGAUGUGGAGGAAAUAUACGUUUGCGGAAGGCACGGAGGGGUCGAGUCCCUGCCUGUUCCUGCCUCUGAUGUUGGUGCUGUUUGUGCACACCCUCCUACCACAGUGCCUCUGUUUUGUUCCACGGGAGGUCUCCAUGAUGAAGCCAUGCCUGGGUGCAAUAGGCAUUUUGGCCCCUCUGUGAAUCCGAGUUUUCAUAUUCAACAAACAGAACAAACAGGCUGCGCUGCCCACACCACCGCUUCUCUUGCAGCUUGUGUGGAAGCUGAGGCUGCAGGAGCGAGCUCCUUGCUAAGGAGGGAACAGGCAUCCUCUCCAGAACCCCUCCCUCCCAGCCACUCUGCACUGCUUCUGGAGGAGAGAAGGCAGUUGGACAGUUCACUAGUCCCCCUGAAACAGCAGAAAGUGCAGCUUCCACGUCAGUGUCUUCCCCUAGGAAAAGCCCAGUGGUGUCCCUAGAGAGCCACAUCUUCCUGGCUGUCACCCCAGUCUCACCCUGCCUCUGGCUUCCUGGGCUCAGUCUUCAGAUCCUAUUACUGCCUCUUUGGCUGCCACCCAGACCUCAGGAGAGACAACUGUGAGAACAAAGAGCGACCUUCCUGCUCUUUUGGCAGCGGGUGUGUGGUCACGUGUGUAGGCCUCCUCAGAAUUUCCAGCUUCUGAUGGCUUCUGUAGACUGUGGCGGAGCUGCAAGCCCGUAGCUGCAGGUUGUGCUCAGUCCCUUACCCCGUCACAGCUUGCGAGCUAUGCCCAAUCCCCUACGCCCUUACACAGCUUGCAAACACUUCCCCAAAGCCCUGCUGACACAGUGCCGUGAUUGAAAACCGCUCGCCUGAACCGUCACACUGGCCUCCCUGCCCAGGUGGGUCCAUCCUCACCCUACCCACAGUGGGUUCGUAUAAAGCAGCUGUGGAUGACACAGAUCCCUGCUGAUGCUGUGCCCUUUCCACUGCCCGCAGGAGUGAGCCCCGCUGCUCUGCUCAGCGCUGCUGCUGCUUCCAGCCCACCACACCCCAUGCUUCCCUGUCCACCCAGCCAGAGGCUGAUCCUGAGCACACCCCUUCUUGGGGAGCCCGCUUCCCUUUCUCCUGACCGCUGUUUGUCUUGGAUGAACUCAACAAUGGAAGAGGUGGUUUUUUCCCUGUGUAAGGAGAUGGAAUAAACAGCCUCCACAUCCAGCCCUAGGGCCAUGCCUUGCUCCUUAGAGCUCUGGAUGGCCAGGGAGCCAGGCUCUGGGCGUCCUCCUGGCCUCCACCCCAGGUCCCUGCAUGCCUUCCCACAAAAGCAGGUGCUCACUGCUAGCUGCUGAAUGGGCCUGAGAGUCCCAGACAGUGACAGCCUUGCUACUGAUAACGUCCCACUUGGAGUUCUUGAAAGAGCGUAUUUAACACGAAAUCAUUCAGUCCACAUCUUCACUGAAACUCUGCAGUCACCAGCCACUGUGUGAGGGCCUCUGAGGGCUACACAGGACCACAGAGGCAUUACUCCAGGCAUGUCUACACUGCAGGAGGUGAGGUGUGUGCUAAUCCUCUACGUGGGUGAGUGGGCGCCCAUACACAGCUUGCAGGCUGGAAGGCUCUUUGAUGAUGGAAACUGUGCAUGGGCAGAAUGAGGUGCAGUAGGUGGAGGGUACUGAAGGGGUAAGAACUAGGAUUUGCAUGUAGGGCAAAAUCAAUCCUUCCCUCCAGGAUGCAACAUGCCAGGCAGGAUCAUUUUCUUGUUCUGUAAUUGAAGGGACUUAGUCUGAGGUACCUUAGGAAAAAGGUAACGCAGGGGAGCCACGCACCGAUCCUGACCCAAAGCAGCUGACUGUGAGCCUGCCUGCCUCCUGUGGGCCACCCACAGCCAUGGCAGAGGGCAUGGGAGACGGCAGGUCUAAUGGUUCAACAGAAGUAAUAACUCACGUAGGCUGGGCGGGGUGGCUCACACCUGUAAUCCCAGCACUUUGGGAGGCCGAGGUAGGUACAUCACGAGGUCAGGAGUUCAAGACCAGCCUGGGAAACAUGGUGAAACCCCAUCUCUACUAAAAUACAAAAAAUUAGCUGGACAUGGUGACAGAUGCUUGUGAUCCCAGCUACUCAGGAGGCUGAGACAGAAGAAUCACUUGAACCCAGGAGGCAGAGGUUGCAGUGACCCAAGACUGGUAACACUGCACUCCAGCCUGGGCAACAGAGUUGAGACCCCACUGGAAAAAACAAAACAAAAACAAAAACAGCUAAUGUAGAGGAGAGCAUUUAUUUUGUGUGUAAAGUCUGGAUUGUUUUUUUCAAGAAUUUUAUUAAUGCAAACUUUGUAUUUUGACCUCUUUAGAAUGUGAGUGAAGUCACAUUCGUUCAUCCUCGAGGAAAGGGAUCUUUGCCGGAACAUAUACUGGGCAGCUUGCUGGGCAGUUGGCUCCAGGUUCCCAGGCCACCCAGUGAAGUUGCCAGGGGAUUCCCAUGAGGCUGUCCUCUGGAGGCUGUCCUAGGAAGGCUGUGCUGGGGGUCCUGCCUCCAGCCUCCUUAACCUCAGCGCUCCAGGCUCCUUAACUGCAGCGCUCCAGGCUGUGCUGAGGACCCAACUGGUAUUGCCCUGCCAUGGUGGUGUGUAGCUAGCACACCUCUCUCAGGGCUCCAGCCCCCUGCUGGGCUGCAGAGGAAUGUCUGUUGUCAGGUGUCUGGUUACUCUGUGUGUGUUCUACUCAUCUCUAGGACCUUCCAUCCACCCUCUAUCUGCACAGCUUUGAUGCAUUCCUUGCUACUUGCCAGCACUCUCCUAAGUAUGGAGAAUAGAAAGAUAAAUAAUUAAUAGAUCUUGCUUUCAAAGAGUUCACCAUCUACUAGAGAAGAAACAUAAACAGACCAUGGAUUAUUGAAGGCUCCAGAAAGGCUGAGAGAAACCCUUGUGGAGUGUGUGAUUAAUACUCCAGAGCCCCACUGUCUCUGAGGCACUGGAGCUGUGGAGUGAUUUUCUUUCUGUCUGCCAAGCUUAUCCCACAGUAUCAGGAAGUGGAGGCACUGGGAGAUGAAGGUCCAUGCUAGAGCCACAUGUCUGCUAAGUGGGUGAGCUACAAUUUCAAGGCAGCCUUGUGAUUCCAGUGUCCUUUCCCCCACCCGCUGUUCACGGCGCCCUUGCCGCUUUCAUUUGGACCUGCCUGCAUGUAAUUCUUGUGUUAAUCAAUCGUGGAUCCCAGAUGAGCAUCUCUGAUGCACAGCUUCUAGGCAUUUUCUCCUGCGUUUAGAGCCAUCAGUAGCCAACAGGACUUCGUGUGAAAAAGCAGAGAAAAAUCAGACUUGCUGUAGUUUUAGGCAAGGCAGAUAUUUCUCUGUGGCUGCUUCUCCUUGGCAGGAAACUUCUGACGCAUUGGAGGUAUAUUAGCAAAUCAGCAGUGCUGUCUCCUCAUCAGGUUUCAAAGAGUUGGAAACCAUAGUGGAAAAUGAAAUUCCUGGAACAUUCUGUGGCUCACUCUCCCCCAUCCCUUUCUUCUCUUUGUGUGGCUAAUGCCUUUUUUCCUGCAAUGCCUUUGACCCUCUGCCCAACUUUUCAUCUCUGGGAAACCUUCCCUGGUCCCACCCAGGCGGGACCCAUCCUUGUUAAUCUGUAGUGGCCUGUGAGAGCCUCCACGCCCCCUUGAAGUGGCCCCAUGAGAGCAUGGAGCACAGUGCAUCGUGGUGAUGAUCUGUGCAUGCCUCUUUCCCCCACACGGGGCUGUGUGGGUCUUGGUAGCACGGAUCAUUGCAUUGGCAGCAGCCUGAGUGUGAACAUAUAAAUGAGAUGUUCUCGGGUUGACUGACACUAUGCCCCUUUAAAGUACGUAUGAUUCCUUGUUCUACAAAACAGUUUAUGAAGUAAUCAAAAAAUACUUAGUGAAUGAUUGCUUUUGAAAGAGCCCUUGUUUAAAAAACUAAAUUUUACUGUGUAUAUUUGAGGUUUACAACAUGGUAUUAUGGGAUACAUAUGGAUAAUAAAAUGGUCAUAGAGUGAAGCAGCUCAGCAGAGGUGUCAUCUCACAUAGUUGCCUUUUAUAGUGAUGAGCAGCUAACCUCUCACUUGACAACAAUUCCUGAUACAACACAGUUGGAUUAAAGUUAGCCCUCAUGUUGUACAUUAGCUCUCUAAACUGGCUCAUCUAAAAUUUUUCAGUUGAGGAGGAAGUAUGCAAAAAAUUUAAAACAAACCAACAUAGAACCUGACCAGCCUUGGACUCAGCCACAGGUGCGUCUGAGCCUCAGAGCUUCUCCUUGAGCCGUUCUUAACUUCUCUGAGCCUUGAUUUCUCAUAUGUCAUGUGAGCGUGAUAACAGCGAUUUUUUUGUGCAUGUUUGGUGAGCUAACAUAGGUAAUGUGAUUCACAUAGAGUCUACGAAUUAGGAGGCAUAUGACUGCUGAUACCUAUAAUUCAUGUGACAGUAGGAGCAUGCAUCAUUGUCUGCUGGUGGGCUGUGUCUUUUACAAAAGUUUCUCUGUUUACCUAUUUCUGUGCUGAUUUCAAGACAUCUUUUUGCAAUUAGAUUGAAAACCAUAGCUUGUGAGUCAUGACCCACUUUAUAUCUGGAAGAGAGCUGAGCUUGUUUUUGAUGGAUGCAAGAUCAGGCACUUGGAACUUCAUCUCUCUUUAUAUAGUGAACAAAUUGAUAUUCCCAGAAGAUAAUCGUUUUGCAAAUCGCACAGAUAGAUGCAUCCUGACUACACAUGGUGUUCACUCUUGGGAAGCUUUGAGACCCAGAUGUGACUCACCACUUGUUGCCAUAUGGGUGUGCACACCAGUUUUAAUCGUGUUUUGCUUCUUAGGAAGAGUCAUGUUCUAUCAUUAUAUACUGAUCUGCACAAUAUUGUGAGUUUUCAGCAUUGUCAAUUGGUCUAAGCAUUCCAGUAUCCUCCAGAGACCCAAUUUAGAUAAACUCAUUAUAGAAAGUAAAAUAAUGAUCUUGUUGCUGAGGUUUUGGGAUUUUUAAAUGCCUAUAACUGUAAGAGGGAUAUCACAUAAGUAGACAAAAAAGAGCUAACAGCCACUAUUUACUUAGCUGGUGCUGUCUACCAGGAAUUGUGCCAGAUGCUUUCAUAGGUUUCAUGUCUUACUGUCACAGAAGUGCAGGAAGAUGGGCAUUCCACUUUCAUUGUCAAGGGAGCUGUUGGCCCAACUCUGACUUGGACAAGGAUUGCUUGAGCCUCUGUGGCUGUGAAGCCUACAGUCUUUCUCCCUUCUCAUGUGGGACACAGUCACAAACAGAAAGUUCCACUGCUCUGCCAGCUUUUCAGAUCCUUGUUACAAUACUUCACUACUCUGGUGGUCCACAGCGCCACUGCCACGUCACAUGUCGGUGGACACUGCCCAGAAGCGGGCUGCAGCCCUGCUGGAGGCUGAUGUGACUCUUCUCUCUCUUGCUCAUCAUCUGCCUCUCCCUUGUUCUGGAAAAAAGUCUUUGCAUUGGUUUUAAUGAGUUUAUCUCUGAAAACUAUGCCAUCUGUAGCCUCAUGUAGAACUCCAAGCCCGGCCUCAUCUAUACUCACUACUCUGGGGACUGUCUUCAUAAACCUCAGGUUGGCAAAAUGUAGAUUAUCCAUGAUAACCUAAGUUCAUGGUCACUACAAUCAUCAGAGCCCAGGCAGAGCAAAAGGUCUCAGGCUGGAACACAGGGUUCAGUGUGGAGCCGCCAACAUUGUAAUUUGCACUUGAAGUUACAGUUCUUGAGAAAAGCUUUGGGAAGUGGCUCUUUCUGAGGGUCACCUCGAUUUCUAUUUUUUAAAGAAAUUGCAAUCUAGAGUCUUCAAUGAAUGAAAUAGUCUUGGUUGCUAGAAUGGGGAGAAUUACCAGUUUAGAUCAAAUUAUUCUUUAUAUAUAUCAAGCAUAUACUCUUUUCCAUGUAUUCCUCUUGACAUUUUCCCUUGCCUAAGAUUCCCACAACUUCACUGUAACGUAGGUUGAACUGUCCCUAAAAUGCAGAUCAAGAAAAUAAAGAAGGCGAUGAACAGACUUGUUCUGAACAUGGGGGUAGUAGGAAUUGAUCUUGGAUUUCAGUUUGGACCCGUUCAUUAGUAAUAAUCAUGCAUUCUUGUAAUAAAAUGGAUUAUACAUUUUUGCGGGAAGGUAUCAGCUUAGCAGAUAUAGCUGAUGAAUUAUUCUUGAUGAAUUGCUAUUCUAUUUUCAUAAUGUUAUUGUAAUAUUAUAAUAUUACUGCUAUUAUGAACUUUAAGCAUACCGGGACCGUGAUUAAAGUUGAUCUGGGGAUGCCACUGUGGUAUUUCACAUCAUUUUCUUUUUCUGUGCUCUUUGACUUCUUAAAGAAGCUCUAUAUCUGGUUUCUGUGAGUGGUGAGCCUAGGUGGCGAAGGCCAUAUUGUUUCUUCUCGUUGCUGUUUGUAAUAUGCUUUUCAGGGAAUCACUAGAUUUCUACUAGAUUUCUAUUAGGCUUUGUAAAGCAGGAGUGAAGACCAUGGAAUCUUUCGUAUUAACUCUACUUCAAGUCUUUCACUUUUUUUUUUUUCUUUUUUGACUCACUUCAGGCUUUAAGCAGCGCUCCUGAGUAGGUAAGGUAGGCAGUGAGUAAUUGCCAGGUGAGUGAGGAAAGACAGACACACUCAGGUUCUCAGCAGGAAGGACAUGGGCAUUUUUUCUGAGCAAGCUUGGGUUCACAUCAAGGCUCUGGGUACUAUCUGUGUAAGUUGGCAGCUUCCUUCUUUGCUGACUCAGUUUUCACAUAUGAGAAAUGGAACAGUUUUGCCUUCCUUGUAAAAAUGCUCCACGGCUUCAGUGAAACAAUAGGAGAUAAAAUAUUUAGUGCCGCGCCUGCAUCACAGAUGCAUUUGAGAAACAUUACCUCCCAGCCUCCCUUGGUGCCCUUCUUCUUGAUGGUAGAAUUCUUGGCUCUUGUGUUUCCUGAGGUUGUGUGCCGGAAUCUAACCGACAGCCUUAGCUUUGUGAUCGAUCAUACAGUCCCUGGCACAGCACAGGUACCCCAUAAAUAGUUGUUGAAUGAAGGAAACUCUAAACCUGAACUGUGUUGAUCGCUGUGCACUGCACAGUGAAAAUAUUACACUGUAAUGGAA